UUUUUAUAAACUAACUAUAAAUAAAAUCUGCUCAAUGCUUUUAAAUAGCCGCAGAAUUUUUACUGUGCUAAGGUAGCAUAAUCAUUUACCUUUUAAUUAAAGGUCUGUAUGAACGAUUUAACAAUUAAAUUAUUUUUUUAUUAAUAUAUCUUAAAUUUAAAUUAAAGAUAAAAAUGUCUUUAUUAUUAAAAAAGACGACAAGACCCUAUUGAACUUCACUUAAGUUUAGCUGGGGAAGCUAAUUAAAUAUUAUUUUAAUUUUUUCUAUUAAAUAUAUUUCUAAUUAAUUAAAUAAAAUAAGUUACCAUAGGGAUAACAGCGUAAUAAUUUUCAAAAGUUCUUAUUGAAAAAAAUGUUUACGACCUCGAUGUUGAAUUAAAAUUACUUUAAAACGCAAUAGUAUUAAAAGUAGGUCUGUUCGACCUUUAAAUUUUUACA
rnacentral:rRNA from 1 species